rnacentral:rRNA from 1 species
CCUACGGGUGGCAGCAGUGAGGAAUAUUGGUCAAUGGAGGCAAGUCUGAACCAGCCAUGCCGCGUGCAGGAAGACGGCUCUAGGAGUGGUAAACUGCUUUUGCACGGGGGUAAACGCAGAUACGCGUAUCUGUCUGAAAGGAUAGUAAGAAUAAAGAACGGGUGACUCCGUGCCAGCGGCCGCGGUAAUACGGAGGAUUCAAGCGUUAUCCGGAUUUAGUGGGUUUAAAGGGGGCGUAGGCGGUCGGAUAAGUUAGAGGUGAAAUCCCGAGGCUCAACUUCGGAAUUGCCUCUGAUACUGUUCGGCUAGAGAGUAGUUGCGGUAGGCGGAAUGUAUGGUGUAGCGGUGAAAUGCUUAGAGAUCAUACAGAACACCGAUUGCGAAGGCAGCUUACCAAGCUACUUCUGACGUUGAGGCACGAAAGCGUGGGGAGCAAACAGGAUUAGAUACCCCUGUAGUC